UGAGGAAUAUUGGUCAAUGGGCGCAAGCCUGAACCAGCCAUGCCGCGUGCAGGAUGACGGUCCUAUGGAUUGUAAACUGCUUUUGCACAGGAAGAAACACUCCGACGUGUCGGAGCUUGACGGUACUGUGAGAAUAAGGAUCGGCUAACUCCGUGCCAG
rnacentral:rRNA from 1 species